rnacentral:RNase_P_RNA from 1 species
ACGGCUGGCCGGGCGACCGCGGGACUUCGCAGCGAUGCGGGGUCUCGAGGAAAGUCCGCACUCCACAGGGCAGGAUGCCGGGUAACACCCGGGGCGGGGCAACCCGCCGGACCGGGCCACAGAAACAAACCGCCGGCUUCGGCCGGCAAGGGUGAAAAGGUGGUGUAAGAGACCACCGCGCCGCCCGUAAUGGCGGCGGCCAGGCAACCCCCAUCCGGAGCAAGGCCAAGCAGGGACGAGCCGCGGCCCGCGGCGUUUGAGUCCCGGGUAGGCUGCACGAGGCGCAGGGCGACUUGCGUCCCAGAGAGAUGGCCGCCCAGGCGCGCCGGGCGAGGACGAAGCCUUCGGGCGUAAACUCGAUUCCGGACGCUGGACAGAAUGCGGCUUACAGGCUGGCCCUGGGG